rnacentral:tRNA from 1 species
GGGCCUGUAGCUCAGUCAGGUAGAGCGUCGGGCUCUUAACCCGAUGGCCGGGGGUUCAACUCCCCUCAGGCCCGCCA